CUCUCCCUCUCAUUUUACCAUUGAGGAAAAUAAGGCACAUGGGAGAUUAAUUGACUUGCCCAAAGUUUCUUAGGUAAGCAGUAGAGACAGAAUUUGAACCCAUGUCCUCUGACUCCAGAAUCAGUACUUUUUCCAUUGUACUCUGCUGCUUCAAGCCCUGCCUCUGAGAUAUACUCAGUGUGGCUCUGAGGACAACACUUACCUGCUCUCUGCCCCCAGCCAAUUCUAGAUUUUCAGCUGUUGAGCAGUUGUGUUGAUAGGAGGAGAUUGCUUGUUAGAAGUUCCCUCGACCCAGAUAAAGAACAAAAACAAAAACAAACCACUCUCUAAAUCAUUGACUGUGGUAAUAAUAUCUCAAUAUGGUUAGAGUUGCUGAAAUACUCAAAAUGAAUGACAAAGAACCAGUUGAUGGGUCUAGAGAUAAUUUUUAUGCUUAGCUAGAUAUUCAAAAGGUUAUAGAAUGAAAGCAGUUUAGCUGAAUGGGCAGCCCAGCAGGUCACUCUACUUCUGUCAAAACCCCGCCCUGAUCUUCAGCUGGGUAACAAGCUAUUCAUUUCCUAGUACUUUUUGGAAACUGCCAACUUUAAGACAUAAACAGGUUGAUCUAAGCUGGUGAUGUGUGUGGGUGAAGAUGGUGUGAAAGAAGACUUGACAGAGAAGCACAACAGAGGAUAUAAUUCGAUUUGUUAUGUUGUAAGGGAUUUGAUAGACUAUCAAACAGCUGCUACUUAGACUGAAUCUCAGUUAUUCCUUAUUUGGAGAAUUCAAAGAAGCUGAGAAGAAAGAAAAUGCAUCGUACUUCCAUUGAAAGAUGAGAAUCAGAGGUGCUACAACUGGACUUUUCAAAAAUCUAACUUGCAGAAGGGUAGAAAGAUGAUUACUACUAGACCCUCUAGUGGCUAUUAGUUCAAAGAGAGAAGAUGGGUAGAUAGAUGACAGGCGGAUAAACCGAUAGUCAUAGUUAAAAUCUAUCAAUAAAAUUUAUUUGGUAUAGCA
rnacentral:lncRNA from 1 species